AUUGAACGCUGGCGGCAUGCCUUACACAUGCAAGUCGAACGGCAGCACGGGUGCUUGCACCUGGUGGCGAGUGGCGAACGGGUGAGUAAUACAUCGGAACAUGUCCUGUAGUGGGGGAUAGCCCGGCGAAAGCCGGAUUAAUACCGCAUACGAUCUACGGAUGAAAGCGGGGGACCUUCGGGCCUCGCGCUAUAGGGUUGGCCGAUGGCUGAUUAGCUAGUUGGUGGGGUAAAGGCCUACCAAGGCGACGAUCAGUAGCUGGUCUGAGAGGACGACCAGCCACACUGGAAGUGGGAGGCGGGCCCGCUACCUGCGGGGGGCGGGGGUGGGGAAUUUUGGAGGAAGGGCGAAAACCUGAACCACGAGUGCGGGGGGGGGGAAAAAGGCCUUUUGGUUGUAAAACACUUUUUGUUGGGAAGAAAACUUUGGGGCUAAAACCGGGCGGGGGGGAGGGGACACGAAAAAAAAACCCCCGCUAAACCCGCG
rnacentral:rRNA from 1 species